GCCUCCUUGGCUCAGUUGGUUAGAGCGCAGGUCUCAUAUCUCAAAUAUGAGUAACGCAAGUUACGCAAUCCUGAGGUCGCAAGUUCGAACCUUGCAGGGGGCA